CGGGAAACUGUGGCUAAUACCGCAUGAUGACUGAGGUCUAAAGGCGCAAGUCGCCUGAGGAGGAGCCUGCGUCCGAUUAGCUAGUUGGUGGGGUAAAGGCCUACCAAGGCUCCGAUCGGUAGCUGGUCUGAGAGGAUGAUCAGCCACACUGGGACUGAGACACGGCCCAGACUCCUACGGGAGGCAGCAGUGGGGAAUAUUGGACAAUGGGCGCAAGCCUGAUCCAGCAAUGCCGCGUGGGUGAAGAAGGUCUUCGGAUUGUAAAGCCCUUUUGGCGGGGACGAUGAUGACGGUACCCGCAGAAUAAGCUCCGGCUAACUUCGUG
rnacentral:rRNA from 1 species